rnacentral:misc_RNA from 1 species
GACUCAAAGAAAGUUAAAGGAACACAACAAAAACUCAUCAUAUCUUUUUAUACUUUUUAAUAUUUCUCUUAUUCAUCAUCAUGUUAGGUCAACUUGUGGGUGGAUUAAUUGGUGGCCAUCAUGACUCAAAGAAAGUUAAAGGAACUGUGGUGAUGAUGAAGAAAAAUGCUCUAGAUUUUACUGAUCUUGCUGGCUCUUUGACUGAUAAAAUCUUUGAAGCCCUUGGCCAAAAGGUUUCUUUUCAAUUAAUUAGUUCUGUUCAAAGUGAUCCUGCAAAUGGCUUACAAGGGAAACAUAGUAAUCCAGCCUAUUUGGAGAACUUUCUCCUUACUCUAACACCAUUAGCAGCUGGUGAAACAGCCUUUGGUGUCACAUUUGAUUGGAAUGAGGAGUUUGGAGUUCCAGGUGCAUUUGUCAUAAAAAAUAUGCAUAUCAAUGAGUUCUUUCUCAAGUCACUCACACUCGAAGAUGUUCCUAAUUAUGGAAAAAUCCAUUUUGUAUGCAAUUCUUGGGUUUAUCCUGCUUUUAGAUACAAGUCUGACCGCAUUUUCUUUGCCAAUCAGGCUUAUCUCCCAAGUGAAACACCACAACCAUUGCGAAAAUACAGAGAAAAUGAACUGGUAGCUUUGCGAGGAGAUGGAACUGGAAAGCUUGAAGAAUGGGACAGGGUUUAUGAUUAUGCUUGCUACAAUGACUUGGGUGAACCAGAUAAGGGGGAAGAGUAUGCUAGGCCUAUCCUUGGAGGGUCCUCUGAGUACCCGUAUCCUCGUAGAGGCAGGACAGGCCGCGAACCAACCAAAGCAGAUCCUAAUUGCGAGAGCAGGAACCCAUUGCCUAUGAGCUUAGACAUAUAUGUCCCAAGGGACGAGCGAUUUGGUCAUGUGAAGAAGUCAGACUUUUUGACGUCGUCCUUAAAAUCCUCUUUGCAAACGCUUCUCCCUGCGUUUAAGGCUUUGUGCGAUAACACGCCUAAUGAGUUCAAUAGCUUUGCGGAUGUACUUAAUCUCUAUGAAGGAGGAAUCAAGUUGCCUGAAGGCCCUUGGUUGAAAGCCAUUACUGAUAACAUUUCCUCAGAGAUACUAAAAGACAUCCUUCAAACGGAUGGUCAAGGCCUACUUAAGUACCCAACUCCUCAGGUUAUUCAAGGCGAUAAAACUGCAUGGAGGACGGAUGAAGAAUUUGGGAGAGAAAUGUUGGCAGGAUCCAAUCCUGUCUUAAUCAGUAGACUCCAAGAAUUUCCUCCGAAGAGCAAGUUGGAUCCAACCAUAUAUGGAAACCAAAACAGUACAAUUACCACAGAACAUGUACAGGAUAAGUUGAAUGGAUUAACAGUGAAUGAGGCAAUCAAGAGUAACAGGUUAUUCAUAUUGAACCACCAUGACAUCGUGAUGCCACUAUUGAGGAAAAUUAACAUGUCAGCAAACACAAAAGCCUAUGCCUCAAGAACUCUGCUCUUCCUACAAGAUGAUAGAACUUUGAAGCCACUAGCAAUUGAACUAAGCUUGCCACAUCCAGACGGAGAUCAAUUUGGUACUGUUAGUAAAGUAUAUACACCAGCUGACCAAGGUGUUGAAGGUUCUAUCUGGCAGUUUGCCAAAGCCUAUGUAGCAGUGAAUGACAUGGGCAUUCAUCAGCUCAUUAGCCACUGGUUGAAUACACACGCGGUGAUCGAACCAUUUGUGAUUGCAACAAAUAGGCAUCUAAGUGUGCUUCAUCCAAUAUACAAACUUCUGCAUCCUCACUUUCGUGACACAAUGAACAUAAAUGCAGUUGCCAGACAGAUACUCAUUAAUGCUGCUGGAUUGUUGGAGUUUACAGUAUUUCCUGCAAGGUAUGCCAUGGAACUGACAUCCAUGGCUUACAAAAGCUGGAAUUUCACUGAGCAAGCACUUCCUAAGGAUCUAAAGAAGAGGUAAAUUAAUCCCACUCCACUAACAGAUCAUAAACUUCCUGCUUCAUUUCAGUAACAUCUUACCUCUCUUUUGAAUGCAGAGGAAUGGCAGUUGAUGAUCCUAAUUCCCCACAUGGUCUCCGCUUACUGUUAAAAGACUACCCCUAUGCCGUUGAUGGGCUUGAGAUAUGGUCUGCAAUUAGAGAAUGGGUGAAAGACUAUUGCUCCUUUUACUACGAAACAGAUGACAUUGUCAUAAAGGAUCAUGAACUCCAAUCAUGGUGGAAGGAAAUCCGGGAGGUAGCCCACGGCGACAAGAAAGAUGAACCCUGGUGGCCUAAGAUGGAGAAAAGGGAAGAGUUGAUAGAAUCAUGCACCACAAUAAUAUGGGUGGCAUCUGCUCUCCAUGCAGCAAUCAACUUCGGUCAAUACCCUUAUGGAGGCUACCUCCCCAAUCGUCCAAGCAUAAGCCGCAGGUUCAUGCCUGAAAAAGGCACUCCUGAAUAUGAGGAGCUUAAAACCAACCCUGAUAAGGCUUUCCUUAAAACAGUCACUGCCCAGUUACAGACUGUUAUUGGCAUUUCCCUUAUAGAAAUUUUGUCAAGGCAUUCAUCAGAUGAAGUGUAUCUUGGGCAGCGAGACGCGCCUGGAUGGACAACAGAUGAUAAACCAUUAGAGGCCUUUGAGGAAUUUGGAAAGAAGCUGGAAAAAAUUGAGGAGAGGAUUAUACAGAUGAACAAAGAUGGGGAAUUGAAGAACCGUGUUGGACCAGUUAUGAUGCCAUACACCUUGUUAGUUCCUAGCAGCGAUGUUGGACUUACUGGCAGGGGAAUUCCCAAUAGCGUUUCGAUCUAAAGCUUCUUUAUACGAAAUUUCCUGUUCUUGUUUAAUAUCAAUGUACUGUUGUGUAGAAAGCUUCAACAUUUUCAACUUUCAAGCACCUUCUUCGUUAUAUGUUGUAUGCAUGCUCAAGGUAGAUAAAUAAAUAAAAAAAGAAAAGUAACAAGCUUCUGUUUGGUUGAUCAGAAAAUGAGAGAAAAGAUCAAUAAACUCAAGUUUUGGAAGUAGUUCCGGCAAAUUAUUGGAGACAAACUGAAACUUUCUCUGUGUCUGGUUGUGCAGACGCAAAUUACUCCUGGUUGAAAAAUGAAAAAAGAACUGCCUUUUUGUUACAGAUGAAUCUUGGGCUAUGAUUUUUCUACCUCAAUUUAUUAGUUUUGGAACUUAACAAUAGCAAUUUGGUUCUUUAAAGUUUGGUUGACAAUGAAAAAGAUUGCUCUGGAAAUUGGUAAAUGACAGAAAUAUUAUCAUGGAGUCUGAAAUGAGUGAACACUGAACAAACAAGACCAUUGCAUGAUUCAGAACCCACAGCAAACAAGUAUAAAACCCCAAAACCUGGACUUGGCGCGAAAUGAAAGCUCUCUGUGGUUAUGAAUUGAACCCUAAUUAUAAUGUGGUUAUGAAUUAUAAUUAGUUUAAUUGCAACAAAUUGCAGUUCAAAACUGUAAUGGAAUGUAUGCAAAACAUUUUGAUAUUUUAAUUUUCCCUGUAAAAAAAAAAUUUGAAGCAUGGGUUUCAAUAAUAAUAAUAAUAUGCAUGUUAAUUAUUAAUAAAUUUUAUUUAAUUUAAUAUAUACAUAUUAGAGAAAGUGUAUCGCUUGGCAAACCUCCAUGGUUAAAGAAAUGGAAAAAGAGAAGAUCCGACCAUGGAGAUGUGUGGAUUGCUCUCCUGGGACUUGAAGAUUCUUUACUCAGUGUUGCUCUAGAGAAAGAUAACAAGCACGGUUUAUCGGGGAUUAAAGACUUGACAUUUAAAAGUAUGGUUGCCGACUCUCCAUAACUAGAUGGGGACUGAAAUGUCAUGGUCCCUGCCGCCUCUUUCUCUCAAGCCGAUGGUCUUGUAUUACCUCCCGGAGAUGUUGGGCUCAGUUGAAAGGUUUGAAAAAUGUUCUUUUUAGCUGUGGCUUCUCUUACUUUGGUGGGAUAUGACUUCGGCAGAAGGAUCUUUUUUUCUAGUUUUCGGUGGUUUCUCCGGCCAUGCUUCCUGAUGACACACAUCCAUUUUGUUCAUCCUGAGCUACUACUCUGGAGUUUAGGUCUAAGAUUCGGCUGAUUUAUGGGCCUUUUACUGGGUCUAGCUGUUUGGGCAGGGGGCUUAGCUUGCAUGCGUGGACAUAGAAAAUCAACGGCUUCGUCUCCUAUCCAUAAACUGGAUGGGAUUUCUUAUCCUAAACUCUGUCUCUGUCUCUCUCAAAAUUGCAGGCUGCCAACAACUCUCCAUUGAAAAAUUCAGUCCCCUCUGUACCCCUUGCUCUCCAUUAGCAAACCAUCUCCAUGGAGAGUAGUCUCUUUGCUAAUCAAUGUCUUUCUCGUCUCAAACUUUCUCCCAAUCUCAAAAUCCCUUCUUCUCCUUUUUUUUCCCAUCAAUUUCCAAACCUCAAAACACCCCAUGUCAAUUAUAAGCCCACCUUCACUCUCUUUGCCAUCCAAAAUCAAGAAACACAGAACUCACUUCAAGAAAACACCACCACCACUAACGCUGCCCAAGAUGACGAGUCCUUCGGCGAAGUUAGCAAGAUUAUUGGCAGCAGAGCCCUCCAAGGUGGCACCGGCAUGGAGUACUUGAUAGAAUGGAAAGAUGGCCAUGCACCUUCAUGGGUACCAUUUGAUUACAUUGCCAAAGAUGUGGUCGCCGAGUAUGAAACUCCAUGGUGGACCGCAGCUAAAAAAGCCGACGAGCCUGCUCUCAGCCGAAUUCUCAACGCUGAUGAUGGACGUGAUGUCGAUGCUGUCGACAGUUACGGCCGUACCGCUUUACUAUUCGUAUCCGGUCUCGGCUCCGAAGCUUGUGUUAAGCUCCUAGCCGAAGCUGGGGCGAAUUUGAACCACCGCGACAACAGUGGCGGCUUAACGGCUCUUCACAUGGCUGCCGGAUACGUGCAGCCGGGUGUGGUUAAGUUGCUAAUCGAUCUCGGGGCGGAUCCUGAAGUGCAAGACGAUCGAGGAUUGACACCGUUGGAAUUGGCUAAAGAAAUUCUGAAAGUGACUCCAAAAGGCAACCCAGUGCAAUUUGCAAGAAGAUUGGGGCUAGAAAAUGUAAUAAAAAUUCUAGACGAGGAAAUAUUCGAGU